CUGGCUACUUAUCUGAAGGACAGAAUGAAUAUCUUCUACUAUAAGCUUCUUCACUGAAUCGGUAGGUCCCUUUUCUGGUGGGUCGACCGUGUCAACCUCAGACAAUUUGAACUGUACACUACUUUCAAUUGCUGCAUGUUUCAUUAUAUCAUUGAUACUUUUGGGGCUUAACCCUUGUAGUCUUGGGCUUGAAUUCCCAUCUGGUUUUCCCUGGACAGCGUUAGCGAUGGCUAGAUUCUGAUCAACAGAGUCAACUUGAUUGAAGAACUCAUGAACUUUGGAAGAAACAUCUAUUGGAAGACCAUCUUUCUCCUCCAAGCCCGAAAAAUCCAUCAAGUCAACAGACGAGGCAGCCUCCAUAUCCGAGAAGAGAAGCUUCACAAAGAAAGUACUCUUUGUGAGUACUAAUUCACAAAGGAGUAACCAUAUACCAUGUAAAGAGAAUAUGAGCCACAUGAGUAUAUACCUCAACUCUGAACUCCUUCGGGAAUUGUUCUUUUAAAUGCCAUAAUGUGUCAACCUCGUCACGGUUAAGCAUCAAAAUGUUUGAUCUAAUAAAAGCUGUGUUGAAAGCCACUCGAAACAGCAUCGCCUCUCUUUCCAUGUCAUCGUUUAAAGUAAGGCACUCAAUCACGAUAUCACCUUGCACAUGACAAUUGAUGUCAAUUUUGACUAGUUCACAUUCUGCCUGCAAAACACAAGGGUCAAGAAAACAAACAGAGAACAGCUAUUGAAUCAUUUUGCAAACAAGGACAAAGUAAGCGAAAAAGCAAAGGAACAAACAGCAACAGAGUGAUCACAAUUAUCUCUUUUUUGAUAAGACCUUAAGAUGAAGAUGCAACGUGAACUAUAUAGCAUAGGCUAAGUCAGAGGUCAUGAAUUAUUAAGGAAAAUAUGACUUUGCCGUGAAAAAUACCUGCUUGUAGAUCCACGGGUGAUUUCCUUUCUUGAGAGUAGAGAAUAAAAGCUUGGACCUUUUAUCAUCCACAAAACUCGGAUCCUGACCAUAUACUCGGAAGAUUGGACGACAGGCUCCUUGUCCACUAACAUCAGCAAUAAAAUUCAAAAUAACACAAUCCAUGGUGAGAGCCACAUCCAGUGGAGGCCAUUCGGAGACCAAAUUCCUUCUCGACAAGUACUGCAGAUAACGUAGCUGAGAAGGAAUUGGGUUCAACGGUGAGAACAAAUGCAGAAGCUCACGAGGAGCACGCUUGUAGAUCAUGUCCAAGGUCUUGUACUCACCACUGUACUGCUUCCGGUAAAUAAGAAGAGCAGCUAGCGUGAAAGCUAAAACAGGCCAAGCCCCGCGUUCACAAUGCAUUAGCAACAAGUUAUUUGGGCCAAGUGAGAGCCAGAUUUCACUGGACCGGAGAAAAUGGUGCAUCACUUUCACAGGCAACAAUGAGCAGCCUUCGUAGUGGCGAGGAUAAUCCAUUAUGGUCAAACCAUGUUCUGACAAGACAUCAGCCAUCACACUCCGAGCACCCACUUCACGGAAAUUAAACACAAGAGAGGAUGCGUCCGGGAAGUGUUCUUGUAGUUGAUUGACCACCCCAGCUACAUAGACUUUGUAGUUUUCUUCUUCCAAACAAUCAGUGGAUAAGCAGCAGUCAAACACUGCAAACGCACAGAGAACUUAUGUCUUCAGAAUCCUAUUUUAAGCAAAGGACGCAAGCAAUAGUACGAUCCGACUAAAGUUAUCAAAUUUCUCAGAAACAUCGCAGAAUGCGAGACCGUAAAAUAAAAAAAGGGCCAUAAUUUAACACAAAGCAGUGCAAAGUCCGGAUCUUUAUCAGAAAAAAAAUUGAUUCACAAGACUGGGAAGUAGAGUCAACAAGGCAAGAUAGACAAAUGAAGCAGAGAAUUGGGAGAAACAGACCGAAAACUCUGUCGGAUAUCUCGAGCAAACCAUCUGGAGGUUUGCGGUAGAACAAUUUGCGAAACAAGGCCAUCUUUUCAAAAAUCCUAAACCCUUUUUGCUCGCGUUCAGAAUCGAAAAGGUCAACUGGCGCGUUUAAUGACGUGAAUCUCACCACCAUCAGCUGUCAUCUCUGUACCUGACAUGACAGGUGUUCUCUGAACUGGCGAAUUAAUGUUUCUAAAUCUCAGGUUCUUGUUAAAAUCUUCAAGAAGUACUACUACAUGCUAGAUAUUUACAGGAUUUGUUUCCUUCUUUUAAAUCCUUUCUGCACAUUGACUUGCCUUUAAGACUACAUCAAUAGUAGAGCUUCAAAGAUUGAUGCACUUGUUGGCCUGUCAAUGCGCGAGAAUGGUAAUCAAAUUAGCAUCCAUUGGAGAUGAACAAGAGAAGAGGACGCCAUUGGAGAAGAAUAACAAACCAGAAUUGCGUUUUUGUUAUAACCUCUAAACGUCGUCGUUCCCAUGACUUUUGUUUUGCUAUUCUAUUUUGUCUUCUUAGAAUUAGAUACACACCCUGAGCCUGAGCAGUUCACUGAUGAACAAAAAUAAAACGCAUAACGCUACAAAGUGGAAAGAACAAGGAACUGGACAUUUAUCCUGCACUGGUCUAGUUCACCAAGAAAAGAAUGCCUCUUUCUAUUACUUACUAGUUACUAUUAUUGUACCAAUCAGUUAUUAACUCUGUUCUUCCCCUUCCUUUCCAUCUUCUACUGUGAGUCUGUGACCAACAUGUAUGAUGUAUUUUGUUUAUUGCUUUCUAGUUACAAUAUUUUUUACACUUAUAACUAUUUUACACGUUAAUAUUUCCGUUAGGUGACAAGUUAUAAGAAGGUAAAAAUAGCGUGGUCUCUAAGCAUCUUAUAAUCUAAAAGCCCGUUUUUAGCAGUCUCACGCCUUCACCGUUCCGGUUCAGUCCAGUCCUGAGCCGUUUCCUUCCGUGCCAUCUCAAAACGAAUGGAAACAAUCUGUUUUUCAAGCGGCGCCUCCUUCCUUCUGUGGCUCCCUCGUUUCUUUAUCUAAACCACUUGUUUUUGUUUUCUCCUUCUUUAUUUCUUCCUCCAAUGUCUUUCUGCUUUCUUUAUCUAAUCCACUUGUUUUUGUUUUCUCCUCCUUUAUUUCUUCUUCCAAGGUCUUUCUGCUUUCUUUAUCUAAUCCACCUGUUUUUGAUUUCUCCUUUUCAGCACUCUUCUUAGCUUCUGCCUCGAGUUGUUUUCCGUUUUCUUCAUGCGCUCGAUUGAACAACCUUACAAAGUUUAGAAGAGUCGACACCACUGCAAUUUACAAACCACUAGAUAGAUUCAAUCAACUUGGUAGCACCCUGUUUCACAUAAAGACUACAUAUAUAGGGUAUGCAUACCUUGUUCAAAAGGGCACUUAGCAGGGUCUUCACCAAAGUAGAGAAUUAAGCCAUCCACAUUUCUUCCCUGCAAUUCAUAAACUUGAUUUAUUCUGACCAUCUUUCAACCAACAAUAGAUCAGGAGCAUGUAACUUAUCUAUUGCACAUUGGAUUUGUUUAGAGACAUACCACUCCCGAAUAGAUUGAAGCCAAGGACCUUACUUCUGCUUCCGCAUAAUGAAGGAACUCCUUCAAUAUCUGAGAAAAAUAAAAAGAACUCAAUAGAUAUGAUCAAACAAGAACGAGAACGAGCUUAGUCAGUUAUUGUCUUCCUAACUUUCCAUGCAGCCACAUUGCCCACACAUGUGUUGCCUGGUUCGCUAGUUAGUACCUAUCUAGCUGCCCUGAAAGUUGUUACAGAGCACAUUCACAAUUCACUAGCCACAUAAUUCUGGAAUCACAGCCCAUACUAUCUAUACUCGUUUUCCUGCUUUCCUUUCUUGAGGGACUUGAUUAUUCUCCCAGUAAACAGUCUCCGUUUCUUAUGUAGAUUUAUUUCCGUAUAUAUAUAUAUAUAUAUAUUUUUUUUUUUUGGUUUGAGAAAGCCUUGAAGAGGCAUUUAGUGAUGGAUGACAGAUAUACCUUAUUAAAGUUAUGUGAGAUUGGGCCAUCAUUUUCAGACAAGGAGAGUUCUUGUACGACUUUCUCCAGUCCCUUGUUUAUAGCUUGCAUCUCCUCAGCCAAAAACUUGAGUUGAAUCUGUAUCAAAGUUUAGAAAAUCAACACUUUUUCAAGCUUUUUUAUCGAUCUACACAGAAAUUGCAAAUGAAAUGAAAGCUAGAUACCUUUGUUGCAGACUCCAGUGAGGAUAAAUCUUUUGUGAAAUCUAUAACUUCUGGCAUUUUCUCAGCAAGAAUCUGCAGAGAAUUCAUCAGACUAUAUCUCUCUCUAUUUCGAUCUAGUACAUCCAUAAAGCUACAGAAUCGCAGACUAUGAUAGCUUACCUUGCAUAGAUAAUGCAUCAGAGUCGUACGGUUAUUACGCGCCCGUGUUUCACUGAGUUUUGGCAGACUGUCCAAUUUAAACCCAACCGCAGCACCUAAAGAGAAACUACUUUGAGAGCAGGAUAAAAGAAAAACAUCCAGAGUUCAUACGUUCCAUUUUCAAACUCACCCCUAGCCGUCCCCUGGUUUAGGGCGUUCCCAAGGGACAAAAUUGUCUGCAUUGUUCUUUUGAAUUUUUCAGAAUUCUUUAUCUGAUGAAAAGAUGAACAAAAGAGCAUUGGUGAGGUAUGUUUUAAUCAUGUUGGGAGGUAACCUAGACGACCCAGUUGAAUAUGACUUACUUGUUCUGCCGCGGAGUUGACAACACCUAGACUAUUCCUGAGUUCAGAAAUCUAAAAAAGUGGUCAACAGUGACCUUAAGUACCAAAAUAAAGCUCCACGUAAUCGUAAUUAACAGGGUAUCAGUUUUCAGACCUGAGAUCGAAACUGAAUUUUGAAUGAGAAUACUCUGAGCUUUGUUUCUACUCGUGGGACUUUCAUCAUCUCUAAGAAGAACUGUUCAAACAAUUUCAGGAAUCAUAAUUAGUGUAUGGCUACUCCAAUAAAACCAAAAAGUAUUCCAAGUUAAGUACCAGUUCGCAUUUUCCUAGCUUAUCCUUGUCACCAUUGUAACCCUGCAAACCAGGCAUAAAAUGAAGAUAAAUUAAAGGAGCAUGCAAAAGGUGGAAAGCAGAACACCCUUAUUUAUUCUAGGGAGUUCUGGUUUUGGGAAUUAAAGCAGCAGAACAUUAGGGAGUAUACUUCUUAUACCUUUAGUAAUUCCAUUUCUUCUCUUGUUGGACAAAACUUAAUUAAGUUCUCAACCUGAUCAGCAUCAAGAGCCGAUUCCUCCAGGUUAAGCACUGAGUACUGCCAAUAUUUUGAGACAAUGUAGCUUUUAAUUGUCACUGACAUUUUACAGAUUUUAAAUGCUAUCAUUACAACACAUCCUAAACCUGUAGAGCUUAAUAUUACCAUCAAAUCCUGCAAAGGUACUUUCACUUUUGAAAGCAUAAUUUCACAAUUAUAUGCUCGCCUGUGUUCAAUCUGCAAGUUGAAGUUUCUCAUUAUAUUCAGUAUGUUCAACUAUCAAAAUAACAAUCAUUUCAUGGGAAAACAUAACAGAAUCGACACAAACAAGGACACUAUGACAUACGAUUAACUCUUAAACACAUAAUUUACCAGUUGGACUUUCUCGGGUUUAGGUCCACGAGAGCUAUUUAGUCUCGACUUCCCUGCUUGCUCUGGAGUAGAUGCGGAGAAAAGACUUUCAAGCUCUGUCAUGUCAAUCUCAGGAGCCCUAAACAAACAGGUAAAGAGUUACUGGCUUAGAAAUUAUACAAGAACCGGAGGUAUCAGAGAAAUAACUGACGACAAGAUGAACAAUGCGUACUUAGAUGCUUCACUCGACAUUUGUGUUUCAGCCCACAAGCUCCCAUUAACAGCUCUUGUAAGUUUCAACCAGUAGUAUGGCUUCAACUUUUUGGUUUGAUUAUUCUUUAAAUUUACACGUAACAUUCUCCCUUUUCCUGAUGAAAGAGAUCCAGUUGGUAAAGCAGGUGUUGGAGGCACACUAGUACCAGAAGAUGGGGAUGAAUUGGUUCCUAACUUUGGAGGAGGAGGAGGUGGUGCUGAUGGUGACUUCAUCUGACCUAAAGGUGGGGGAGGUGGUGCUGACGGUGCCUUCAUCUGACCUAAUGGUGGUGGAGGUGGUGCGGUUGGAGGGGCCGGAGAGGCAGAAGAUGUAGGAAGCCGUGGAGGUGUUGGAGGAGCUGGAGGAGGAGAGGCAGAAGAGGUAUGAAGCGGUGGAGGUGUUGGAGGAGCUGGGGGAGGAGAGGCAGAAGAGGUAGGAAGCGGUGGAGGUAUAGGAGGGGUAACUCUAGCGACUGUGUUCUGGUUUGAAUGCUGCAUUGGAGGAGGAGGAGGAGGGGGAGGAAGAGGUGGUCGAGGAGGAGGUGAAACCACAUCAUUGGGAGCUCUUAUUGGAGGUGAAGGAGGACAAAAAGAACCUAAUGUCUCAGUUUGGGAUGGUUUGGCAGGAGUAGCUACUAAUGCAGGAGAUGGCCGAAGUGACGACGGAUUUUUUGUUUUAGAAGACUCCUGAGGAGAAACAUGGGAUGCAGGAGGAAGCAGAGGAGAUGUUGGAGGCGGUGCCAUGGGAACUUUUUCAUUUGAAGGUGUUCGAUGAAAUGUAGAGCCAGCUAAUGACACCCAGGCAUUUCCCUGUGAAAGUCUCUCUACCGGUUGGACAACAGAAUGCUGCAAUUGCUCUGAAGGUUGAGAAGCAACAGUUGGAGGUGGAGGAGGUGGCGGAGGUGCUCCUUUUGGAGCCAAUGACGUUCUUGCAGGAUGUGGUGGUGACGGUGUGGAUGGCGAAAACGAGACCGCUUUCCCAUCGUUUGCUGAAGGAGGACUCUUCAGAAUGAUCUCCUCAGCAUUUUCAGAAGUGCCAGAACCGUCCACAAAAGGUUUAACUGUUGCCGAAUGAUGCACAAGCUUGAGAGAAGGGGACUCUUGACGUGAACUAUCUGUUGCAUCCUGGCUGGUGGUAUCUGCCUGGCUACUUAUCUGAAGGACAGAAUAUAUAUCUUCUGCUAUAAGCUUCUUCACUGAAUCGGUAGGUCCCUUUUCUGGUGGGUCGACCGUUUGAACCUCGGACAUUGAAGACAAUUUGAACUUUCCACUAUUUUCAAUUGCUGCCUGUUUCAUUAUAUCAUUGAUACUUUUGGGGCUUAAGUUUUGUAGUUUUGGACUUGAAUUCCCAUCU
rnacentral:lncRNA from 1 species